UACGUAGGGUGCAAGCGUUACUCGGAAUUACUGGGCGUAAAGCGUGCGCAGGCGGUCGUUCAAGUCGAGUGUGAAAGCCCCCGGCUCAACUGGGGAGGGUCACUCGAUACUGAUCGACUUGAAGGCAGGAGAGGGAAGCGGAAUUCCCGGUGUAGUGGUGAAAUGCGUAGAUAUCGGGAGGAACACCAGUGGCGAAGGCGGCUUCCUGGCCUGUUCUUGACGCUGAGGCGCGAAAGCUAGGGGAGCAAACGGG
rnacentral:rRNA from 1 species